CCGGGCUAACUCCGUGCCAACCAGCCCGCGGUAAUACGGAGGGUCCAAGCGUUAUCCGGAUUUAUUGGUUUAAAGGGUGCGUAGGCGGUUUUAUAAGUCAGCGGUGAAGUUUUCAGCUUAACUGGAAAAUGCCGUUGAUACUGUAGAGCUAGAAUAUGGUUGCCUGUGGGUGGAAUGUGUGGUGUAGCGGUGAAAUGCUUAGAGAUCACACAGAAUAUCGAUUGCGAAGGCAGCUCACAAAGCCAUUAUUGACGCUGAGGCACGAAAGUGUGGGGAUCAAACAGGAUUAGAUACCCUGGUAGUCCACACUGUAAACGAUGAUAACUCGCUGUCGGCGAUAUACAGUCGGUAGCCAAGCGAAAGCGAUAAGUUAUCCACCUGGGGAGUACGACCGCAAGGUUGAAACUCAAAGGAAUUGACGG
rnacentral:rRNA from 1 species